rnacentral:rRNA from 1 species
UACGGAGGGUGCGAGCGUUGUCCGGAAUCACUGGGCGUAAAGGGCGCGUAGGUGGCGCGACAAGUCAACGGUGAAAGCUCGGCGCUCAACGCCGAGUCGGCCGUCGAUACUGUUGGGCUUGAGCACUGUAGAGGCUAAUGGAAUUCCGGGUGUAGCGGUGGAAUGCGUAGAGAUCCGGAAGAACACCGGUGGCGAAGGCGGUUAGCUGGGCAGUUGCUGACACUGAGGCGCGACAGCGUGGGGAGCAAACAGG